AUUGAACGCUGGCGGCAUGCCUUACACAUGCAAGUCGAACGGCAGCACGGGUGCUUGCACCUGGUGGCGAGUGGCGAACGGGUGAGUAAUACAUCGGAACGUACCUUAUCGUGGGGGAUAACGCAGCGAAAGCUGUGCUAAUACCGCAUACGCCCUGAGGGGGAAAGCGGGGGAUCGCAAGACCUCGCGCGAUUAGAGCGGCCGAUGCCUGAUUAGCUUGUUGGGGGGGUAAAAGCCCACCAAGGCGACGAUCAGUAGCUGGUCUGAGAGGACGAUCAGCCACAGUGGGACUGAGACACGGCCCAGACGCCUACGGGAGGCAGCAGUGGGGAAUUUUGGACAAUGGGGGAAACCCUGAUCCAGCAAUGCCGCGUGAGUGAAGAAGGCCUUCGGGUUGUAAAGCUCUUUUGUCAGGGAAGAAACACCGGCUCUAACACAGUCCGGGAAUGACGGUACCUGAAGAAUAAGCACCGGCUAACUACGUGCCAGCAGCCGCCGUAA
rnacentral:rRNA from 1 species